rnacentral:rRNA from 1 species
UACGUAGGGGGCAAGCGUUGUCCCGGAUUUAUUGGGCGUAAAGCGCGUGUAGGUGGCCAAGUAGGUCCGCUGUGAAAACUUGAGGCUCAACCUCAAGCUGUCGGUGGAAACCCCUUGGCUAGAGUCCGGAAGAGGAGAGUGGAAUUCCUGGUGUAGCGGUGAAAUGCGCCAGAUAUCAGGAGGAACACCGAUGGCGAAGGCA